GCGCAUGCGUGUGCCCAGGCGGGCUCCGGAAACCACGUCUGCGUGGUUUGAAACGGUUGCCAGGUUUCCGGGUGGUUUCAGCAAGUAUCAGCUUGAAGGUUCUAUUUGAAUUUUCUUUGGACAUCAUUAUGAAGCAGAAAUGUUGCCACUUCAAUUACUAAAGGAAUUCAAAGGGUUACCGGAAGUUCAGCUACUGAAUAAAUUACAGAAACUAAGUUUUAGAUCUCUACAGUCAGGAUGUGAUUAUAGCAAGAUGUAUAUCCAGGGAAAACUCUCAGUUAUGUCUUUAACAUAUGGAAAUAAAGCAACUGUUUUGAAGAUUAGACCUUAAGGGUUUUUGGUAAAUCUAUAAGGGGAUUUUCCACAGAAACAAUGUCUUUGGUCCCAGUAGCACCUUUUACAUACACACCCCUGAAUGUACUUAAGGAUGGCACAGUUGUCAAUGUCUGUGGUGUUGUGAAGUUCUUUAAGCCUCCGUACCUAAGCAAGGGAACCGAUUAUUGUUCAAUUGUAACAAUUGUGGACCAGACAAAUGUGAAGUUAACAUGCAUGCUCUUUAGUAGGAACUACGAAGACCUUCCAGUCAUUUAUAAUGUUGGAGACAUUGUUUGUUUCCGUGGGUUGAAGAUCCAAGUAUAUAAAAACAAACUUCAGGCAAUCAGCACCUAUGGUUUUGCAUCUUUGACGCUUGAGGGCGCCAUAGGGUCUCCUGUCACACUGCGCACUUCAGGCACAAGCUUUAACUUCACUGCUCAGGACUACAGUAUGGUAGAAGCCUUGCGGGCUUGGGCAUCCACGCACCUUUCAGCAUCUUCCACCUUACUACAGCUUUCUGACGUCCAACCCAUGCAGUACUGUGACCUGAUCUGUCAGCUCCUGGGCAAAGCAGAAGUAGAUGGAGCAUCAUUUCUUCUAAAGGUAUGGGAUGGCACCAGGACGAAGUUUCCCUCUUGGAGAGUCUGCAUGCAAGACCUUGUUUUCGAAGGUGACUUAAGUCACAUUCUGCGGCUACAGAAUCUGGUGAUAGACGUUGUAGUUUAUGAUAAUCAUGUCCAAAUGGCAAAAUCCCUGAAGAUUGGAAGCUUCCUUAGAAUCUAUAGCCUCCAUACCAAACUUCAACCAGUUAAUUCAGAGUCCAUCACUUCACUGAUAAGGCUGGAGUUUCAUCUUCAUGGAGGGACCAGCUAUGGUCGAGGGAUCAGGGUCUUACCAGAAAGUAACCCUGAUGUAGAUCAGCUGAAAAGAGCUUUAGAAUCUGUAGAUUUGGCAGCCAUUCAGCCCUCAGAUGAUACCUGUCAAUCAGAAAAUGAGGACAACUGUUUAACACCUUCAAGCUCUGAAUCAGACUUGGUCUCACUGUACGAGCUAGAAAGAUGUCAGCAACUCUGUGCUACAACACUUACAGAUCACCAUUGUUUAGAGAAGACAUCACUGUGUGCCAUUUUGAAGCAAAGAGUUCCUCGACAAUAUCGAAUCCUAGCAAAACUGAGAUCAUAUGAACCCAAAAGACUUCUCCAGUCUGUUAAACUUCUUUGUCCUAAAUGCCAUUCAUUGCAAGAAGUUCCAUAUGAGGAAAAUGUGGAUAAAAUUUUGCAAGAUGCUGCAACUAAAGCCCCAGAGAGCAAGCUGCAAGGUACAUCGUUGUACGACUCAGAAGUCUGGACCACUGAAGGUCAAGGAGGACGGCAGGUUACUGUCCAUUUUGUGAAAAAUGAUGGCAUUCUCCCUCUCUCAAAUGAAUGUCUGAUUUUGAUAGAAGGAGGUCGGCUUUGUGAAAUCUCGAAACUGUCAAGCGUGUUUCACAGUGUCAUCCCUGUGAGGUCUGGCCCUGAGGACCUGGAGCUCCUAGACCUUGCAGCACCAUUCCUCAUACGAGGAAAGAUGUGUCACUAUGGGUGUGUGUUCAUCUCAGGCAUCUGGGAAUUACAACUGUGUCUCUAUUGCUUAUCUUCCAGCUACUCUAUGUUCAGUUGAUACUUAGAGAUAGUCUCCAAGCUGUAGUGAUUGUGUGACAGUGAUACAGAUUGGUACAGGUCCUUUGCAUUUUGAGUUUUGAUCUUUUCUAGUCUGGUGGUGUGUAGUGAAACACUCAACAUGUGAGGGAACAGUAACAAACUAGAGCUCUCUGUUGAUGACUGAUUGUCAGGGCAAGCAACUGUAUGCUGAGUGUUAUAUUCAGAAAGUAUUAAUGCAACCCUGUUGUAAAUUCUAGAGUGUCCAUACUCACUUUUUCUUGUACAUUUCUAGAGAUUUAAGUACACUGUGUGUGACAUAUAAGGCUUACAACAUUUUGUUUCUUAGUCACAAACUAAACUUAUUUCUUCCACAAGAAUUUAGGUGCUAGCUAAAGGGACAUGUCAGAGUUGCAAACUGACUGAGUUCCAGAACUGCAUCCAACAUUUUACAGAGUUGCUGCCACUGAAAAUGGUCAGAGAGCACGGAGUCUACGGGCUCAGGCCUAGAAAGAGAGCAAAAUAAAGCAUCCUAUAGUUCUGAUGAAACAGUCACCCUGGAAAUGCUUUGCUUCAAGAAGCUUUGCACUGCAACCUAGAUAGAUCUUGUUGCCCCAUUUCUCUACCCCUCCCUUUCCUUCUAAGUGUAUAGCAUUUCUUUGUUUUUAUAAUGAACCCAAAUUUUUAUUUUUUUCACUAAAAAUUAUGGCCUGCCAUUUUCAGAGCUAUACGAUAUGGCUUUUUUUGUUUUGUUUUGUUUUGUUUUGUUUUUUUGUUUCAUAUACAGUGAGUGAAAAACUUAAGCCUUAAAGUAAAAAUGAAUGUUUGUAGCUAAUUACUCUGAGGUACUCAGUGUCUUAAUAUCUUUAAACGUCCUGCAAGUUUUAUAUACCACUUAAUUGAAAUAUCAAAACCCAUCAUGUUCUGUUGUUCUCCUUUGAGUAAGUCCAUAGACUAGGCUUUGCUUCUGACACGAACAUCCCUCAUUCUUUUCUCUCUUUUCGUUUCUUCUCACCUUCCUAGUACAGAGUACCUAAGUCUAAGUCAGGAGACCAAAAUUAUAUGCCAACUUGCUCUAUCACUGUCUAAUAUUAGUGAAUAAUUUUCAUACUUUAUUUUUUCAUUAUUACUGUUAGUGAGGAAAUAUCUAUAUAUUUGAUGAUUAACUGGUGAACUUGAAAGCAGUUACCCCUGUUUCCCAGUUCACAAAUUACAGGUACUCUUGAGUUCUAAUUUUUAUUCAAAUAUAUUUUCUAAGCCUAUUUUCUUACUAUAUCUCAUGCCCAUUUCAUCAUGCCUAAUAAAAUUAAAUUACUCAUACUUAAACAUACUGAUAGCUGGAUGAGUUGUACUAAAGGACAUCCACUUUCAAUCAUUGUCUUGUUUCAUGUGUUCUUAUAUUUCAGACAGUAACUGACUUUCAGGCAUCAUACACAGUGCCUCUGAAUAUGUGUUCACCAGUAUUUACCUGAAAUCUAACUUGUUUUCACUGUUCAUUAAGAAAAAAAAAUUCUUACUCUAUUUUUGUAAGACUGUGACCAUUAGGUAUUGCUCAUAGAGCCAUAAAUUCAAUGAGCUCAUGCAACUUCUCUCUUGUGUCUUUUUGUUUUAGCAGAUAAGAAAAUUAACAGCCAAAUUAAAGUCCAGUUCCUGGUUCUCAACUUCAAGUUAUUCUGAAGCCCAUUGUCUUAGUCACUGUUCUAUCACUUUAAGGAGACACCGUGACCAAGGCAACUUAUGAAAUUGUAAACAGUGUUCAAACUUGAAACCCAUACAAAACCUAAGUACUAUUUCUAAUAAAAGAAUAUGGAUUCCUUCCUCGGUGGCAGAAG